rnacentral:rRNA from 1 species
AGGGAAAGCUGGAGGCAGGCCUAACACAUGCAAGUCGAACGGUAACAGGAAGCAGCUUGCUGCUUUGCUGACGAGUGGCGGACGGGUGAGUAAUGUCUGGGAAACUGCCCGAUGGAGGGGGAUAACUACUGGAAACGGUAGCUAAUACCGCAUAACGUCGCAAGACCAAAGAGGGGGACCUUAGGGCCUCUUGCCAUCGGAUGUGCCCAGAUGGGAUUAGCUAGUAGGUGGGGUAACGGCUCACCUAGGCGACGAUCCCUAGCUGGUCUGAGAGGAUGACCAGCCACACUGGAACUGAGACACGGUCCAGACUCCUACGGGAGGCAGCAGUGGGGAAUAUUGCACAAUGGGCGCAAGCCUGAUGCAGCCAUGCCGCGUGUAUGAAGAAGGCCUUCGGGUUGUAAAGUACUUUCAGCGGGGAGGAAGGGAGUAAAGUUAAUACCUUUGCUCAUUGACGUUACCCGCAGAAGAAGCACCGGCUAACUCCGUG